AGAGUUUGAUCCUGGCUCAGAACGAACGCUGGCGGCAGGCCUAACACAUGCAAGUCGAGCGCCCGCAAGGGAGCGGCAGACGGGUGAGUAACGCGUGGGAACGUGCCCUUUGGUUCGGAAUAUUCCCGGGAAACUGGGAGCAAAACCGGAUAAGCCCUUCGGGGGAAAGUUUACGCCAAAGGAUCGGCCCGCGUUAGAUUAGGUAGUUGGUGGGGUAACGGCCUACCAAGCCUACGAUCUAUAGCUGAUCUGAGAGGAUGAUCAGCCACACUGGGACUGAGACACGGCCCAGACUCCUACGGGAGGCAGCAGUGGGGAAUCUUGGACAAUGGGCGCAAGCCUGAUCCAGCCAUGCCGCGUGGAUGACUGAAGGCCCUAGGGUUGUAACGUCCUUUCGACGGGGACGAUAAUGACGGUACCCGUAGAAGAAGCCCCGGCUAACUUCGUGCCAGCAGCCGCGGUAAUACGAAGGGGGCUAGCGUUGUUCGGAUUUACUGGGCGUAAAGGGCGCGUAGGCGGAUUUUUAAGUCGGGGGUGAAAUCCCGGAGCUCAACUCCGGAACUGCCUUCGAUACUGAAAGUCUGGAGCACGGUAGAGGUGAGUGGAAUUCCGAGUGUAGCGGUGAAAUGCGUAGA
rnacentral:rRNA from 1 species